rnacentral:rRNA from 1 species
UACGGGGGGGGCAAGCGUUGUUCGGAAUACUGGGCGUAAAGCGCACGCAGGCGGUCGGCUGCGUAGGUGGUGACAGUCCUCGGCUUACCUGAGGAAGCGCUGCCUAAACGGGUCGACUUGAGGGCCAAGAGAGGGACACGGAACUCCGGGUGGAGCGGUGAAAUGCGUAGAGAUACCGGAAGAACACCAAAGGCGAAGGCAGUGUCCUGGCUGGCUCCUGACGCUCAGGUGCGAAAGCUAGGGGAGCAAACAGG